rnacentral:rRNA from 1 species
GGGGAAUUUUCCGCAAUGGGCGCAAGCCUGACGGAGCAACGCCGCGUGAGGGAUGAAGGCCUCUGGGCUGUAAACCUCUUUUCUCAAGGAAGAAGAUCUGACGGUACUUGAGGAAUAAGCCACGGCUAAUUCCGUGCCAGCAGCCGCGGUAAUACGGGAGUGGCAAGCGUUAUCCGGAAUUAUUGGGCGUAAAGCGUCCGCAGGCGGCCUUGAAAGUCUGUUGUUAAAGCGUGGAGCUUAACUCCAUUUCAGCAAUGGAAACUACAAGGCUAGAGUGUGGUAGGGGCAGAGGGAAUUCCCGGUGUAGCGGUGAAAUGCGUAGAUAUCGGGAAGAACACCAGUGGCGAAGGCGCUCUGCUGGGCCAUAACUGACGCUCAUGGACGAAAGCCAGGGGAGCGAAAGGGAUUAGAUACCCCUGUAG